rnacentral:ncRNA from 1 species
AGAGCCCAGCGCCGAAUCCCCGCCCCGCGGUGGGGCGUGGGACAUGUGGCGUACGGAAGACCCACCCCCGGCGCCGCUCGUGUGGGGCCCAAGUCCUUCUGAUGGAGGCCCAGUCCGUGGACGGUGUGAGGCCGGUAGCGGCCCCCGGCGCGCCUGGCCCGGGUCUUCCCGGAGUCGGGUUGCUUGGGAAUGCAGCCCAAAGCGGGUGGUAAACUCCAUCUAAGGCUAAAUACCGGCACGAGACCGAUAGUCAACAAGUACCGUAAGG